rnacentral:lncRNA from 1 species
CACAAACACACACUGAAAUACACACAGGAAAUAAACUCAGGCUCAUAAAGUCAACUGUAGCCCCUUCAUUUUCACUUCCGCUCAGCGUAACUACAACGUCGGACUGAAGCUUUUACACAGAUCUUGGUGAAGAUGGCUGAAGAGUGGUUGAGCAGUAGCCUGAAACUCUGUCAGCUGACAACUAGUCCAAAUACUGAGACCUCUCAUGUCUGGGAUCCAGUGGAAGCAAGCUUUAACACCCAGUCAUACCCUCAACCUGAUUAUGACCAGUCAUCUAUUUUCACGACACUGGAGGCAUACAGCAGUGCCUUGGAUGAGACACAGGCUAGAAGAUCAGAUGUUGAGAAUCUAAAACCCAAGCCGGUAGAGGCAGACAUUAUUCACCAAUUUGCUGACAUGUUAGCUGUAGAUAUAUUGGAUGCUACAGUGAGGAGAAGAGGCACUCAAUUCAAUACUGACAGAAUGGAAAUCACUGAUGUGCCUGAAACAACCAAAUGGACAAUUAGUGACCAGGAAAUGCUUGCUAAGAAGUUAGCGUCUGAGAUCUUUGAGAGUGCACUGGAGGAGUUAGCCCAGCACAGUGGCCUCACAGGUGGAAGAAGUGAAUUUUUGCAAGAACAGAUCAGUGAGAAAGAUCUCCACUGUGACCCAUAUUCAUCCAUGCACUGCUGUGACCAUGAAGAGCCUGACAUGGAAGUCGAUUAUUCCAAGAUGGAAGAAAAUGAAAGCAAACAACCUCAUGAGAGGCUUUUCAACGAUCCAGGUUCUAGAGCCCAGGGUCACUCUGAAUCAGACUUCACUGCAGCAUACUCUAACACACUGAGUGAUAUGGCUAACAUGGGCUCUCUUGACUACCCUGAUGCUCCACCAAGCACCCCGUUGCUCCCAGAGAUGAUGAAGAGUCGAGCUAGCUUCACUAGGAAGUUGAAAGGAGGAUUAGCAAUGGAGUUCCUACCAUCACCUCCUCCUCCAACCCCAAAAGAUCAGCAAUCUGAAUCCUUAUCUGAGGACAAGAUGACAGAAACGGUCUCGGACAAAUCCGAGUUCAUGGUGCGAUUGAUGCGCUCACUGUCGUUAGCAUGCUCACAGCAUGGAGAAAAGGACACUGAGGGGCAGGAUUCUGGGAUAAUUGGGAUGGAAGAUGAAGGCAAGCCUCAAAACAGGAUUUCCACACUGUCAGACUAUGCAGCCUGGCUGUCUGAGGAUAUCAUCAACUGCAUCACUGCAGCAAAUCCUGACUCCAGAGUAAACAGAGAUGCACCUGUCAGAGAUGUGCAGCUCCUGGCCCACCAUUUGGCUCAGGAGAUCAUUAUAAUGUCUGUAGCGGAGGUGAUGGGAACCAAGAGAGUGGACAGAAAAAACGAGCAAAAUAGUCACAUGUCAAACGCGGUGGAUGGAAUGGCAUCCUGUGUGGAGGCCAGCGUGGAGAAGGCAACCCCACCAUUAGGUGACAUUUUACUGCCAAGUUUAAGCCCUCCUGUCCAAGAUAUGGAGGUGCUGAGAGCCUUGGCUGGGAGGCUAAUUGCGCAGACUCUGGUUCAGGCUGUCUCCGAGCUGGAAAAAGGAAUAAUACAACGUGCCACAAGACAACAGCUUCCAGGUGAAGCAUCAGAAGCAGUGCCAUCUGAAGCAAGAAAAGUUCAAGGCCGUGAUUUGUGUCUGAACACCACCACCACCACCAUGUCCAAACAAACCACAAGCACUCAAUGCUGUAAUGGGGAAUCAGUGCAGAACUACAUCAUGUCUGAUUCCAGAACUGUGACGUCAACAGCGGAUUUCUCCUUUGCUGAGAAGAUUGCAUGUGAAGUGCUUAAGUGCUCCAUGCAAGAAGCUUCCAACUCCCUCUCAAGGUCCAAUCAAAUUGCUGUUGAUUCAGAGAGACUCAGUACCUCAGACACUGCUCUGGGUGGCACGGAACAAACUGUUCUGAAGGGCUUUAUUCCUGAUAAGUCGUGUCAAGAUGUUCAAGAGUUACAGUGUAUCCUCCUCUGGGCUGCAGCCUCCCACACCAAUGUCUCAGUUUUACAGCUGGAUGUGUCUGACACUCAUAUUCAGCAACAGCUCUGCAGCCUCUCUCUGAAGGCCCAGUUUCACAGCUGGACUGUUGAGGACCUGCUGGUAUCUGUCCUCCAGUACUGUGAAGAUCCGCAGACCGCCAGCAGAGGGCAGCGUAAGAGUGACAGGUCUCUCCUGGGGCAUCUACUGCUGCUCUGAGUGAGCUAACUUUAGCCUCACACAGUCAAGAAAGACUCUAGAUCUGCAUGGUGGACAGCCUGAAAUAGCCUGCAUUAGAUUUUUGUAAUAGAAGCUUCUUCCAAUGCACUGCACUGCAGAACAUCAGCCCCAAGCGCUUACAGACGGACAUCAGACAUCAACUGCUCACAGCUGAGCGUCAGUCAAGGUUGAAAGCUAAAGCUAUGGAUAAUUCUGGCUAAUGUGAAAUAUGCACCUGAAAUCAACAUGCUGGGAACACUGAACACAUGGCUCGAGCUGAAUCAAGCCUUCUACAGGCCUGCUGGCAGAGCACGAGGCUGACCCUGGAACAAAUUCUCGAACCGUAUGACUUUCACCAUUACACAGCCAGUUGUGGCGCAGUGUAACACCCAUCUGGACACAACUGGGAGGAAACAAGAGUCAAGCGCCAGCAACAUGAUGAGCAUCUGCUUGCGACCGCCCACAUAACUCUCACCUUACAUUAAUAUAGAGCGACAGAAUAAGGAUGCAAUACAGAUGGCUGUUCAGACGAGUUCAGACUGACUUCGCUGAUUUUCAGACAUUAAUAUGGAUUGAGGACACGGGCCUGAUCUCAAACUGAAUCAAUCCCAGUCCAUGGUAAAAGGGGUCACCUCCAGCAGCACAGCACCCCAACAACUUGAAUUUUGGAUAUAACCACUCUGUAUUAUGCAAGAAGUGAAGCGUUGUCAACAUCAGCAGUAAUCAAGAAACUCAGUUAAGACAUGCCAUAAAAGCAGCAUUGCUAAAAUACAGCGUGACGCCAUCAUGCUCGGCCUGGUGAUUGAAAGGGCUGUUAUGAAGAGCGCUUUGGAGACUGUAAAAGCAGACUUUUUACAGCAUCCCAUUAAUACUCCCAGAGCACAGAUACCUAACAUGGCAGGAAUGUGCUUUAGUGAACUCUUGCCUCCCACUCUCUCCCACUCUUGGCCACCGCUGCUCAAAUGUAACAGCAACUACACACACUCUCACACACAUACAAACACACACACACACUUUCACUUACACUUACACACUCACUCACACACAUACAUACUCAGGGGUGCUGACAUCGCAGCUGUGGUCCAGAGAAGACACAAUGGGUUUCGGUCCAGCCCUGUUACAGCAUCUGGAGAAGUAUUUGUUCCAGCAUUUAAGGGUCACAAGCUGCCACAAAAGAGAGGAGAAGGAGCAGUAAGAAAACGAGUAAGAAAAUGAAUAAGAAAGGCAGGCCGCAGAUGGACAAAGAGAGAGAAAAAAAAGAAAAAAGAGAGAAGGAUAGGGUAAUUACGACACAGUUUAUGCGUCCAGAGCUGAAUGGAUCGCAGGGGUUCUGGAAAAUCUUCCAGCUCCGAUCCCUCGGCGUCUCCCCAGGGCUGCAACACAUCCAUUUAUUUUUCUCCUUCAAGAGCCAGAAAUAUGCACGGUACACACAAAGACCACCCCCCACCCACUCACUGGCGCGGGCCUCGUGGCACCGGGAUUCAUUUAAUACACACAUUCUCUCGCAGCGCCAGUUAAUCAGGGCUCCCAACACACUGCCACACUUCAUUCGGGUCAGCGAUGAUGGAGAACAAGCCUUUGUGUUUGUGUAAUUACAGGUACAGGUGACUGAAAAGAGUCCAAAAGGACCCAUGCAGAGCGAAGAAAAGAAAUAUUACCAAAGUGCAACCAGAGGAUAUUAUGGGGAGUUCUGUAUGUUUGGCUGCCUGAAGCUAAUUUGCUGCAUAAAGCUGAAAAAAAAGACUUUACACUUUACAUGUGUUGCACGUGUAGUGACUGAGAGCUGCAGACUCCUGCUGCACAGGUUUAUGUGUUCAGGUGAUGAUUAGGCUGUUGAUUUUAAGGCUACGAGAUAUACAAUAUAUACAGAGUUUGUACUGAUUCUUUGUAUUUUUUUUUUUCAAAGUAAAUUAAUACAAUUCUUUAAGGAAAUGCAGUCAUAUCUAAGUGUGUUUCUAAUGUAGGUACAUGUUAACAAUCCUUGUAAUAACAGAACUAUCGACUAUUAACUAUAUAUCAUCACUAUAAUAGCAUAACGUACUCUUGUGUGGUUAUACAGUACUAGUCACAAGUUUGGAUGCAACUUCAGUUAUGUGGUUUUUCAUCAUUUAAAUCAUCAUUUCUGCAUAGUAGAUAAAAACAAAAGUCAUCCAAACUAUUAAGAAAAAAAUACCGGAAUAUGUUUUAUAUUUUAGUUACUUCUAAGUAGGAACCUCUUGCUAAGAUGACAGCUUUGCACACUUUAUGAGGUAGAGUCACCUGAUAUAGCUUUCAGUUAACAGCUGUGCUAAACUUGUCAAGAGUUUAUUGCUUGGAUUUCUAGCCUUUCUAAUGUUUGAGAGCAAAAGUUGUAAAGAGGUAAAGUUGGUAUACAGAAAAUAACUCUAUUUGAGUAAUGUUCUAAUCCAUAUUAUGGCAAGAACCACUUAAUUAAACUAAGUCUUAGUUUAUUUAAAAAUUUUAAAGACUAUCAAAUACGUUAUGAUAAAAAUACGUUAUCUCAUCAGAACUGCCCCAGAAAAAAAAGACCAAGAGUUUCUCUGUUGCACAAGAUAAGUUCAUCAGAGUUACCAGGAGCACUUUGUAGUUCUAUAGGUCCUGUAUCUAUUUAUCUACAAACCUUAAUAUCCUCCUUGCAUCCUGUUCUACAAUGAUCAGGACCCCACAGGAUAGACCACCUCAGAGCAGUUAUUACUGUAUUUGGGUGGUGGGUUAUUUUCAGCACUGCUGUGGUGGCGGUGGUGUGUACAUGGUAGUGUUAUACCAUAGUAGUUACAUUGUUAUUGCAUAGACUGUUCACGUGUAAAUACAUAGUUAUUACAGAUACUGACUAUAAAGUGGAAAUUAGUUGUUGAAUAUUUCACAUUGAUGUAUUAUUUGUAAAUCUAUUUGCACUGCCUUGAUUUAUUAGUAUUAAUAUCUCCAUUCAAAUUCUUAAUAUGUAUGCUACCAAUAUAUUUCAAACAUGUUGUACUUGUAAAAUCUAUUCAAAUGAAAUAGAUAUUUCAGAUUAUAAAUGACUUAUUCAUUCAUCCUCCUAAAUGUCUCACCUGUAGAGGUCAAUUUUUAAUAAGAUUUAGGGGUACUAAACUGUGGAAUGGGUUUUCCCUUCAUCAAAAUAAUAAAAAAAACUUAUCCAUGAAACA